GAGACAGGUGGUGCAUGGUUGUCGUCAGCUCGUGUCGUGAGAUGUUGGGUUAAGUCCCGCAACGAGCGCAACCCUUACUGUCAGUUACUACGCAAGAGGACUCUGGCAGGACUGCCGUUGACAAAACGGAGGAAGGUGGGGAUGACGUCAAAUCAUCAUGCCCUUUAUGACUUGGGCUACACACGUACUACAAUGGCGUUAAACAAAGAGAAGCAAGACCGCGAGGUGGAGCAAAACUCAGAAACAACGUCCCAGUUCGGACUGCAGGCUGCAACUCGCCUGCACGAAGUCGGAAUUGCUAGUAAUCGUGGAUCAGCAUGCCACGGUGAAUACGUUCCCGGGCCUUGUACACACCGCCCGUCACACCAUGAGAGCCGGGGGGACCCGAAGUCGGUAGUCUAACCGCAAGGAGGACGCCGCCGAAGGUAAAACUGGUGAUUGGGGUGAAGUCGUAACAAGGUAGCCGUAGGAGAACCUGCGGCUGGAUCACCUCCUUU
rnacentral:rRNA from 1 species